UGCGCUGUAGCCCAGUUGGUAAAGGCGUCGCCGGUACAUACAGAUGGCGAAGGUAGCUGGUUCAAAUCCAGCCUGCGGUG